rnacentral:ncRNA from 1 species
UAUAUGUGGAAGGAUUUGCCUGAUUGCAACCACAUCUAAAAAAUGCUAAAAU